GGAGGAGGGAUGUAGAAAUUGUUAAUUAA
rnacentral:piRNA from 1 species